GUGGUGGGUGGUGGGUGGGGGGUGGUGUGGUGGAGUGUUUAUUGACAACACUAGUCAAUGGAUGCGUGGUUUUGAUGUUAACAUAGGCUUUUGCUCUUCUAUAUGUAGUAGUUGAAGUUGGGCAUCGAUGGAUGGUUUUGGAUAUUGCUUGGCAUUCAGGCUGAAAAAAGCUUGUGGAAUAGACACACAGAUGAUCCUCCGUCUGGUUCAGAAAACUGAUUCGUCCUCUCUUUGUCUUGCUGCCUUCAUUAGUAAGUGCUGACAGCUAUUCUUCACCCUUCAUGGCAAGUUCAUUUUCAGCAUGUUUACAGAGAAGGAAACAGGCUAGGUGAUGGCCUUGCAUCCCCUUUGACUGAGUGCGGGAAAUUUGUCCCUUUGACUGCGAGAUUGCUUUUAUGGCCUUGAAAAACUCAAAACAUUUCUUGAGGCAAGGCCACCCUUUCUUUUUCCUCCUUAAAUCCUUGAUUGCUCUUUUCCUUCUAUAACCCUCUAGUAUAUCUUCCUUGUACUUUAUUUCUUUCAUAUCCUUGGCAUCAUCAGAACCAAAAAAUACAUCUCCCAUAUCAUGCUCUGAAGAAACAAGACCAAUAAUCAAUGGUUCCAGAAAAGUAGAAUCUCUUCUGUAUAGCUGCAGGAAGCUUCUGUCACUGCCGCCACUGCCACCACCAUCACCAUCAAAAUAUGUAACUCCUCCGGCCAUGGAUGAGAGUGGGGAUUCUAGCCGAUUGUACAAAUUGCCAUAGUAAUGUACUUGAUUCAAAGAAGAAAAAGAAUUCUUGAAAUCAUAUAGGUUUUGGAUGUUAAAAGAAAUAAGUAUAAAUUAUAAGAUUUUUCUUACCGACACAAGAUCUAUUUUAAAUUCUUCUUCUCGUACCAUCAUCCUAGUAAUCGUCAAAUCAUUAGCUUAUCCAAAUGAUAGGGAUGGCUCUUAUUGAUAAGACCAGCAGUUGGUGGUGUAUAGCGGGUUGUUUUUGCUGUUAUACGUUUGUAAGGGAUACCACUUGAGAAAAA
rnacentral:misc_RNA from 1 species